rnacentral:rRNA from 1 species
UACGUGAGGGGCGAACGUUGUUCGGUGUCACUGGGCUUAAAGGGCGCGUAGGCGGCCAUGCAAGUAAGGUGUGAAAGCCCUCGGCUUACCCGGGGAAGUGCGCCUUAGACUGCAUGGCUUGAGGACCAGAGGGGUAGGGGGAACUCCAGGUGUAGCGGUGAAAUGCGCAGAUAUCUGGGGGAAGGCCGGCGGCGAAGGCGCCCUACUGGCUGGUUUCUGACGCUGAGGCGCGAAAGCGUGGGGAGCAAACAGG